rnacentral:snRNA from 1 species
GUGCUCACUUCAGCAGCAUAUGUACCAAAAUUGGAAUGACGCCGAGAAGCUCAUCAGCAUGGUCCCUGCACAAGAUGACACGUAAAUUCAUAAAGUGUUCCAUAUUUUA